rnacentral:rRNA from 1 species
UACGUAGGCAGCGAGCGUUGUUCGGAAUUACUGGGCGUAAAGAGUGUGUAGGCGGUGCUCUAAGUUCGGUGUGAAAUCUCCCGGCUUAACUGGGAGGGUGCGCCGGAAACUGGAGUGCUCGAGCGUGGGAGAGGAAAGCGGAAUUCCUGGUGUAGCGGUGAAAUGCGUAGAUAUCAGGAGGAACACCUGUGGCGAAAGCGGCUCACUGGACCAUAACUGACGCUGAUGCACGAAAGCUAGGGGAGCAAACAGG